CCUCCUUAUCUUGAAGUAAAACUACUUGAUGGAAAUGUUUCUUUUAUUAGGAAUAUUUCACGAGUGUUCACACAAAUUACAUGAUAACAAAAUGAAGAAGAAAUAAACCCACUAGAGCAUAUUAUGUUUUAGGCGGUGUUAAUUUACUUUAGUUCAAGGCGCUUGAGUAUUGGAGGAAUGAAUGUAGAUAACUACAUGAUUAACUGAGAUACGAAUGCAACGAUGAAAUUAAGUAAAGGAACUCGCAUAAAUGGGGCUAUAGCUCAGCUGGGAGAGCGCCUGCCUUGCACGCAGGAGGUCAGCAGUUCGAUCCUGCUUAGCUCCACCAUUUACAUUUUUACCGCGUUACUUAAAUACUCGCAUAAGAGAUACUAUGCGUCGUAUUCAAAAGCCUUGUAAAAAAGUAAAUAGAUAUUCUACUUCUUCUACUAAAGAAAAAGACCAAAUUUAAAUACACUUUUACAGUGAUUUUAAAUUUGGUUUUUUAAACCAUAUCUUGCCGAAUGUG
rnacentral:tRNA from 1 species